AGAUUGAACGCUAGCGGGAUGCUUUACACAUGCAAGUCGAACGGCAGCGCGGACUUCGGUCUGGCGGCGAGUGGCGAACGGGUGAGUAAUAUAUCGGAACGUGCCCAGUAGCGGGGGAUAACUACGCGAAAGCGUGGCUAAUACCGCAUACGCCCUACGGGGGAAAGGGGGGGAUUCUUCGGAACCUCUCACUAUUGGAGCGGCCGAUAUCAGAUUAGCUAGUUGGUGAGGUAAAGGCUCACCAAGGCGACGAUCUGUAGCUGGUUUGAGAGGACGACCAGCCACACUGGGACUGAGACACGGCCCAGACUCCUACGGGAGCAGCAGUGGGAAUUUGGACAAGUGGGGGCAACCGUGAUCCAGCCAUUCCGCGUGAG
rnacentral:rRNA from 1 species